AUGACUUCUGGGUACAGCUAAAGGAAAUGAAGGGUUUCCUUCAUGUGAGGGGUUGUUGGAGUAGCCAAAACCUCGACUCAAUUUUUCCAACACCUCAUAAAGCGUGAGCUAUGCAUGUGCAUGAGGGCUGAAAUGAUUCAUGGCACCAUAGAAACAUAAACUCACAGCUUCCUGCCACACAUACGGAGUCGGUAAGGUCUGCCUGUGAUCUCAUAUCAAAAACACCAUUAGGACUCUGAAGUUCAACCUGCUCUCUGAGGACACAUUCAUCUCAGGAACUUCUUAAAGGUUGUGCUUGGACCGCUGCCCUCAGUGGAGGUGUAAUCAUUCACUGUACAGUGCAGACGUCAGCUUUACUGGUACCAGAUGGAGAGACCGAGCCUGUGUUUACCUGGACCAGCGGACACAUAUAUAAAUGUCCCAGACCGAUAUGUGAAAUCUGACCUCAGGCCAGCCAGAGAGGCUGUUCUCCAUCCAGUCCAGAUGUUCAGACAGACCGGAGGAGCUGAAAAUCAAAGCAGGGGGGAAGAACAAAACCCACCACACACAGAUCAGAGGGCUGUGUUCUCCAGGACAGAGAGGGGUCUUCUGGGUACUGGCUGAACUGACAACCCCUGGAGCAGCUACGCGACGCUCUGCACAAAUUAAACUGACAGCAGUUUUCUCCACAGAAACUAUAAAGUCCUGACAAGCAUAAAAUUGUGUUAUGUACAGUUAUUUGCCUAGGCUGUUGUUUAUACUGAGAAAAAACACUCUUAUAUGUUUUCAGUGGUGUUUACUCAUACUAAAAUACUCUGACAGUGUCAUUCAGCAGUGACAUGACACCGCUUCUAAAUCAACAGCAUGAAAUAGAGAGCGUAGUGUAGUUUGAUUCCUGAAUGAACAACUCUGGUUCUUAAUGAAUCAAAAAAUUGUAGUGUGACCAGUAUAGUCUGAUUCCGAAUGAAUAUAUCUUUAGAGACUGUUUUUAAAUCAAAAAUAUACAGUGCGACCUGUCUAGUCCUGAUCCUGAAUGAAAUGACUCUUAUGAGUUGACUCGUUUUAGUGAAUCACAUACUUAGAAUCCAGCCAGUACAGUUCAAUUCCCGAACAAAUCCCUCUUAUGAACCAGUACUUUUUAGCGAUUUAAAAAGAUGCAGCACAGCUAGUCCAAUUCUGAAAAAAAUCCAUCUUUUUUGAGCCUGUUUUGUGAAUCAGAAAUAUACAGCACAAAAGCAGUAUAGUCUGGAACCCGAAUGAAAUGACUCUUAUGGGUUUAGUGAAUCAUGUACUUAUAGCACCACCAGUGUAGUUUUAAUUUAUGAAUCACUCUUAUGAACUGGUUCUUUUUAGUGAUGCUGCAGAGUCCGACUCCCAAACGAACAACUCUUAUGAUUCAAUUCUUUUUAAUGAAUCAAACACAUUUAGCAUGGCCAGUGUAAUUAAAUUUUGAAGGAACCAGUCUUCUGAGCCAGUUUUGUAAAUCACAAAUAAACAGUGUGACCAGUGUAGACCA
ensembl:lncRNA